rnacentral:lncRNA from 1 species
UCCAUGAAACUCCGGUGAAUUGUUUAUAUCUAUUGAUGUAAGCUCCCUUUCAAUUUUUAUAAAUUUCAGAUUUUAAGUUUUGGAUUUAUGGGGCUUUAUUCAUAAAAAAAAAGGGGGAUUUUCAACACUUCGGACAAUAACUCAAAAAGGCUUUCACCAAUGUCCAUGAAACUUUGGUGAAUUGUUUAUAUCUAUUGAUGUAAGCUCCCUUUCAAAUUUUUAUAAAUUUCAGAUUUUACAUUUCCGUGUUAUGAAUUUUUAUGCUUAAAAAAGGGG